GAUGAACGCUGGCGGCGUGCCUAAUACAUGCAAGUCGAACGGACGGACGAGAAGCUUGCUUCUCUGAUGUUAGCGGCGGACGGGUGAGUAACACGUGGAUAACCUACCUAUAAGACUGGGAUAACUUCGGGAAACCGGAGCUAAUACCCGAUAAUAUUUUGAACCGCAUGGUUCAAAAGUGAAAGACGUUCUUGCUGUCACUUAUAGCUGGUUCCGCGUUGCAUUAGCUGGUUGGUAGGGUAACGGCUUACACAGGCAACGAUGCAUAGCCGACCUGAGAGGGUGAUCGGCCACACUGGAACUGAGACACGGUCCAGACUCCUACGGGAGGCAGCAGUAGGGAAUCUUCCGCAAUGGGCGAAAGCCUGACGGAGCAACGCCGCGUGAGUGAUGAAGGCCUUCGGAUCGUAAAACUCUGUUAGUGGGGAAGAACAUAUGUGUAAGUAACUGUGCACAUAUUGACGGUACCUAAUCAGAAAGCCACGGCUAACUACGUG
rnacentral:rRNA from 1 species